CGAGUGGACCGGGUGGUCGCUCGCCGGUCGGUGACGGCGGUGACGUCGGCGCUGGCCACGGGAGGAAAGUCCGAGCUCCAUUGGGCAAUGGUGCUGGCUAACGGCCAGCGGGGGCGACCCCAGGGAAAGUGCCACAGAAAGCAGUCCGCCUCCCGCAUCGCGAGAUGUCUGGAGGUCACGGUGAAAGCGUGAGGUAAGAGCUCACGGGCUCCCCCUGGUGACUUGGGGGGCCGGUAAACCCCACCUGGAGCAAGAUCGAACGCGGGGCUGGACCUCAUCUCAAGGUGAGCCCACGGACGGCCCGUCCGAGUACCCGCGGGUGAAUCGCUCGAGCGGCGCGGCAACGCGACGCCCAGAUGAAUGACCAUCACGGCCCCGAGAGCGAUCGAGGGGUCGGACAGAACUCGGCUUAGAGGCCGCUCGCCCU
rnacentral:RNase_P_RNA from 1 species